GACCAGGUGGCCGAGUGGUUAAGGCGUUGGACAGCUAUUUCAAUGUGCUCUGCACGCGUGGGUUCGAAUCCCAUCCUCGUCG
rnacentral:tRNA from 1 species